GUCGACGAGACAAAGGUGCUUGCACCUUUAGAAAGUGGCGAACGGGUGAGUAACGCGUGGGCAACCUGCCCUAUGGAAAGGAAUAGCCUCGGGAAACUGGGAGUAAUGCCUUAUAAGAUACGUUUGUCGCAUGGCAGAGGUAUUAAACGCUCCGGUGCCAUAGGAUGGACCCGCGUCCCAUUAGCUAGUUGGUGAGAUAACAGCCCACCAAGGCGACGAUGGGUAACCGGUCUGAGAGGGCGAACGGUCACACUGGAACUGAGACACGGUCCAGACUCCUACGGGAGGCAGCAGUGGGGAAUAUUGCGCAAUGGGGGAAACCCUGACGCAGCAAUACCGCGUGAGUGAAGAAGGUUUUCGGAUCGUAAAGCUCUGUUAUUGGGGAAGAAAAAAAGACGGUACCC
rnacentral:rRNA from 1 species